AGAACGAACGCUGGCGGCAUGCCUAAUACAUGCAAGUCGAACGAACUCUUCGGAGUUAGUGGCGCACGGGUGCGUAACGCGUGGGAAUCUGCCCCUUGGUUCGGAAUAACAGUUGGAAACGACUGCUAAUACCGGAUGAUGACGAAAGUCCAAAGAUUUAUCGCCAAGGGAUGAGCCCGCGUAGGAUUAGCUAGUUGGUGAGGUAAAGGCUCACCAAGGCAACGAUCCUUAGCUGGUCUGAGAGGAUGAUCAGCCACACUGGGACUGAGACACGGCCCAGACUCCGUACGGGAGCAGCAGUAGGGAAUAUGGACAAUGGGACGAAGCCUAGACUCCGAGCAAUGCCGCGUGAGUGAUGAAGUCCGUUAAGGGUUGUAAAGCUUACUUUACCCGAGUACUAGAAUAAGUAGACUAGUAGUACGGAAG
rnacentral:rRNA from 1 species